AUGUUCCAUGAUAAUAGGUUAGGUAAAUGUUCCAUGAUAAUGGGUUAGGUAAAUGUUUCAUGAUAAUGGGUUAGGUAAAUGUUUCAUGAUAAGAAUUUCAUGUCUUUUGUAUUAAAGAAUUAAAUGGAUGAAAUAUGAAGUUUUAUUAAAAGAAAAAGGGGUGAAAAGAACAAAGUUUUGUCCAUCUUUGUUCAUCAUAGCUGAAAGUUAGAGAAGAGAAAAGAGAGGAGAAAGCUCUUGAGUAUUUGGUCAUUAGGAAGAGGAAAAUUGAAGGCAGUUCGUGUGUGGAUCUCGUCAGUAUAUCGUCGCAAACAGGAAAUCCCCAACCAUAGUGGGCUUGGAGUUGUGAGGGAAUUCGGAGUGGCCACCCGUUCUGAAAGUUUGAUUUUCUUCUGGUGAACUGGACAUCCUUUUAUUUACGUUUGAAGUUUUUGGGCUUUUAAAUGUAAUAAGGCCACUUAAUUAUUUUUGAUGGUUUUAAUAUGUAUUACUAAGA